rnacentral:lncRNA from 1 species
AGAACCCACCAAUUCCGGACACAAUAGGAGUGAGAUUGGGCUAUGUGUCCUUUAUCUUCUAGUACUCUAGCCCCUCUUUCCGAGACAUUUGGUAACGUUCCAGUAACAAAAUGAAAUCACAUGCCAGAACCCAGAAUUAGAAGAGGACACCACACAAAAUUACAUGGCAAGGGUACAAAGAAAAGUUGGAAUUGUAACAGGACCUUCCGGAUGUG